UACAGAGGGUGCGAGCGUUAAUCGGAAUUACUGGGCGUAAAGCGCGCGUAGGCGGCUUUGCAAGCCGGGUGUGAAAUCCCCAGGCUUAACCUGGGAACUGCAUUCGAGACUGCAUUGCUAGAGUAUGGGAGAGGGAAGUGGAAUUUCCGGUGUAGCGGUGAAAUGCGUAGAUAUCGGAAGGAACAUCAGUGGCGAAAGCGACUUCCUGGACCAAUACUGACGCUCAUGUGCGAAAGCGUGGGGAGCAAACAGG
rnacentral:rRNA from 1 species